GAAAUACUGCCUGAAGUGCUCACAGCUGGGUCAGAGUAGGCUUUGUGGACUGCGCUUGGCAGUUUAGAUUUUAUUCUGUGCUAAGAAGCUAGCAAGGAUUCUUAACGAGACAACUGUGUGUAUGUGAUUUAAACGAACUUAAAGCUGCUACGUGGAUUAAAAAAAAGUUUUAUGAGGCAAAAGGUUAUUGUUGAUUGAAUCAGGGUAGUACUUUUGGGAGGAGUGAUAGACAGUAAAAUGUGGAUAGAUGUAAGAAGAGCUAACAAGUGUGCACUUCCUGAAUUUCUGAUGGGAAAACAGCGCUAUCAAUAUUGUAUGGCGAAUUGAAAGCCAGCAAAGCCUUGUCUGAUUGGACAAAAUUUAUCUAGGCAGGGUCUUACUGGCCUCUCACACCUCUUAAGACACUGUGCCUUGUGUCCAAAGAGAAACUAUGAUGGAAUAAUAAAAGCUAACACCAGGACACACCACAGUCUCCUAAGGACGAUGUUGCUGUAGCCUCGGAGAGCUGCAGACCGCUGCUGUCAAGCUGCCUUUCUUCCUUUCCUAGAAAUCCUCUUGUCUUGGUUGCUGACAGAAGACUUUGAGGGAGUAGUGAUACCUGUGUCUUUGCUUGACCUUGGUGUUCAAGUUUGCCACAGGACAUUAGUGGGAAAUGCAAGCAGACAAGCGUGUAGCUGGGGCUCUGUCGGGGAGGUGCCCUGCUGAACCUCCAGAUGGAGGCCAUCUCCCCACAUCUGCAUUCCUCAGUGUGCAGGCAGCUGCUCUCCCUGACAUGCUAGACUCAUCAAAGGGAAGUUUGUCCUUGGUACUCAGCAGUUCUGUUGCUUAGAACCAGAAAAUCCGAGGAUGUGGGUGCAGAGAAAUAGUUUAAAGGUGAUUUUAUUAAAAAUAAAAAUAACCCUAGUAUGUAAAUAAAUAUCAAAUGUAAUCUUUUGAUGGACACUGGGCAGAGACACUUGGAAAGCAGUCACACCAUCAGAGCCAUUGAUGGUCUGUUAUUUUAAGACUUAAUCUGAUUUAGGAAGAUAUAAUGAAGCAAGAGUUUAAGAACUUGAUCACUGAAUUCCAUCUUUUUUAGAAACAUCUUUUGGUGUGUGUGUGUGUGUACACACUUGUGCAUAUGCAUGUGCAUCUGUCUUUAUGUGGGUCUGGGCACAUGAGUUACAGGUAUCUGCAGAGACAGAAGAAUGUGUGACAUUCCUGGAGAUGGAGUUAAAGGACAUUUGUGAGCCACUUGAGUGGGUGCUGGAAACACACUGCUCCUCUACAAAAGCAGCAAGAACUCUUAAGCAGCGAGCUUUGAACCCCAUCUUUCACAUAGCAGAUGUAAUUGUUUUUGGAAUUUCGUAUUGACUUUGACACAGGCAGGCUUCUUGGUUUGGUUAUGGUUCUGAAAAAUACUUCUAUAUUUUAUUCUUCACUUUCUUUAAACAUAUAUGUAUUAUUUAAAAUAUAUGCAUAUUAUAUAUUAUAUGUGUAUAUUAUAUAGAAUGUAUGUAUCAUGUAUACACAUAUAUUCUCUUUCUAUAUAUACAUUCAUAUGUAUAUAUACAUUUAUAUGUGUGUAUAUACAUAUACAUAUAUAUAUAUAUAUGGUUUAUCUUAGCACAAGUUACAAUGAGGAUCUUUAGUGUACUUAAUAUGAAUAGUAGCUUUCUCAGAUACCAAUUCCUAUGAAAUACUGUGCCAAGGUAUUACAUGCAUUUUUGUCUGUUAAUAAGUCAGAACUUAUAGUAGUUUUUAUUAAAGAUAGCUGAACUGGCACCAGGGUAUUGAGUAAUCUCUUUAGCAUGACUAGGUAAGUAAUGAUGCUGGAUUCAGAUGCAAAGCUCUGAUGCAGCUUCCUGUGUCAGCUGACUGCAGUGAAGGAUUCUGUUUGUAAAACUGAGGAUUUGCAAUCAUUUAGUAUGCUAACUAAGAGGAAUACAGCUUUCCCAAAGCUCUCAUUGGAUCUUAUUUUGUGAAAUCAGGCCUGUUUUUCCUUCUCAUAGUUUUCCCAGCACUCAUGAUUAUGUUAGGAGAAACAAGUGCCCACUCUUAAGUGCUAUGAAGUCUCUUUGAAUUAAUAGAUGUGGUGGUGCAUACUCAUAAUCAUUAUCCUUGGGAAGGCCAAGGCAUGAGAACCGCUAUUUAAUGUUUCCCUGAGCAAUAGUUAGUAAUAGAUAUGGAGUGAGAUCUUUUCUCAAAUGUUAGUGUACACACACACACACACACACACACACACGUGCACAUACGUGCACAUGCACUACAUACUGUAAAACAAAAAGAAAGGCUGGCUUGACCACAAGCACUUCCUUGAACUGGCCCAGAGUUCUGAAAUCUGAAGUCUAAGAUGCAAUAUGUCAGAACUGGAAAUGGCUCCCCUCUGGUGUGCAAUCUGGGAGGGAAUUUCCUGUCACAAUUUCAAAUAUUUUCCUUUAUAAGGGUGAAAACAUUGAUGGGUGAAAUUUGCCUUUUUGCACCGCAUUUAUGGAUCAUCUUG
rnacentral:lncRNA from 1 species